rnacentral:rRNA from 1 species
CUACGGGCGGCUCCAGUGGGGAAUAUUGCACAAUGAGCGAAAGCUUGAUGCAGCCAUACCGCGUGUGUGAAGAAGGCCCGAGGGUUGUAAAGCACUUUCAAUUGGGAGGAAGGUUAAGUAGUUAAUACCUGCUUAAUUUGACGUUACCUUUAGAAGAAGCACCGGCUAAGUCUGUGCCAGCAGCCGCGGUAAUACAGAGGGUGCAAGCGUUAUUCGGAAUUACUGGGCGUAAAGCGCGCGUAGGCGGAUUAUUAAGUCAGUUGUGAAAGCCCUGGGCUCAACCUGGGAACUGCAUCUGAUACUGGUAGUCUAGAGUUUAAGAGAGGGAAGUGGAAUUCCAGGUGUAGCAGUGAAAUGCGUAGAUAUCUGGAGGAACAUCAGUGGCGAAGGCGACUUCCUGGCUUAAAACUGACGCUGAGGUGCGAAAGCGUGGGUAGCGAACGGGAUUAGAUACCCCCGUAGUC